UAACAUAAAUAAAGUCUAUUAUUAUUUUUUUCUGCUGUUAUUUUAUAGAGCUGUCAAGAAGAAUUAAUUAGGUGGGAAGAAGGUAAAAAAUGGCCAGCUAAAACUCAAGGAAUGCAAAAUAAAAUGAAAGAAAAAGAAGUGGAUACGCUAACCAAGCAGUUGAAUACUGUAAAAAAGCUUUUGACCAAGUCUAAUAAAGAUAAAAUCACAUUGCAAAAGAAAUUAAAAUCAAGUAGUGUGACUUCUGAUUGACUUAUGGGAGUACAUGUUUCAGAUUUAGAAAAAGAAUUAGAAGAACUUAGAAAAACAAAUAUUGAACUAGAAAACGAAAUAGGCCACAUGAGAAACAGAGGCUCUCGGACAGAUUUCACCGGAAUUACAUGAAGAAUGGAGCUGGCUGGAGGCAGAAGAAAGCAGAGGCAGAAGCAAAGGACAAAACUGCAAGAGCUCUUAUAACCAAGCAGAGAGAGAGGCCUCUAAGCUAACCGGGCUAUAUUGGAGACAAUAAAAGAUCUGAACUUUUA